GACAGAGGUGCCGAGCGUUAGGCGGAAUCACUGGGCUUAAAGCGUGUGUAGGCGGACUUCUAAGUACCUUGUGAAAUCCCACGGCUCAACCGUGGAACUGCUUGGUAUACUGGUCGUCUUGAGCCACCUAGGGGCAACCGGAACAAACGGUGGAGCGGUGAAAUGCGUAGAUAUCGUUUGGAACACCAAUGGUGAAAACAGGUUGCUGGGGGUGUGCUGACGCUGAGACACGAAAGCCAGGGGAGCAAACGGG
rnacentral:rRNA from 1 species